GAUGAACGCUAGCUACAGGCUUAACACAUGCAAGUCGAGGGGAAACGGCAUUGAGUGCUUGCACUCUUUGGACGUCGACCGGCGCACGGGUGAGUAACGCGUAUCCAACCUUCCCAUUACUGUGGGAUAACCUGCCGAAAGGCAGACUAAUACCGCAUAGUCUUCGAUGACGGCAUCAGAUUUGAAGUAAAGAUUUAUCGGUAAUGGAUGGGGAUGCGUCUGAUUAGCUUGUUGGCGGGGUAACGGCCCACCAAGGCGACGAUCAGUAGGGGUUCUGAGAGGAAGGUCCCCCACAUUGGAACUGAGACACGGUCCAAACUCCUACGGGAGGCAGCAGUGAGGAAUAUUGGUCAAUGGACGGAAGUCUGAACCAGCCAAGUAGCGUGCAGGAUGACGGCCCUCCGGGUUGUAAACUGCUUUUAGUUGGGAAUAAAAAAAGGGACGUGUCCCUUAUUGUAUGUACCUUCAGAAAAAGGACCGGCUAAUUCCGUGCCAGCAGCCGCGGUAAUACGGAAGGUCCAGGCGUUAUCCGGAUUUAUUGGGUUUAAAGGGAGCGUAGGCGGAUUGUUAAGUCAGCGGUUAAAGGGUGUGGCUCAACCAUACAUUGCCGUUGAAACUGGCGAUCUUGAGUGCAGACAGGGAUGCCGGAAUUCGUGGUGUAGCGGUGAAAUGCUUAGAUAUCACGAAGAACUCCGAUCGCGAAGGCAGGUGUCCGGGCUGCAACUGACGCUGAGGCUCGAAAGUGUGGGUAUCAAACAGG
rnacentral:rRNA from 1 species